rnacentral:rRNA from 1 species
GCAAAACGCGAAGAACCUUACCAAGGCUUGACAUGCAUCUCUAAGCGCGUGAAAGCGCGUGACCCUUCGGGGGAUUUGCACAGGUGCUGCAUGGCCGUCGUCAGCUCGUGUCGUGAGAUGUUGGAUUAAGUCCCGCAACGAGCGCAACCCUUGUGACUAGUUGCCAGCACGUUAUGGUGGGAACUCUAGUCAGACUGCCCAGAUCAACUGGGAGGAAGGUGGGGACGACGUCAGGUCAGUAUGGCCCUUACGCCUUGGGCUGCACACGUACUACAAUGCCCAGCACAAUGAGAACCGAGACCGCGAGGUGGAGGAAAUCUAAAAAACUGGGCCCAGUUCGGAUUGGAGGCUGCAACUCGCCUCCAUGAAGUUGGAAUCGCUAGUAAUGGCGCAUCAUCUACGGCGCCGUGAAUACGUUCCCGGG